rnacentral:rRNA from 1 species
GACGAACGCUGGCGGCGUGCUUAACACAUGCAAGUCGAACGGAAAGGCCCUGCUUGCAGGGUACUCGAGUGGCGAACGGGUGAGUAACACGUGGGUGAUCUGCCCUGCACUUCGGGAUAAGCUUGGGGAACUGGGUCUAAUACCGGAUAGGAACCAUCUUUAGUGUGGGGGUUGGAAAGUUUUUUCGGUGUAGGAUGAGCUCGCGGCCUAUCAGCUUGUUGGUGGGGUAAUGGCCUACCAAGGCGGCGACGGGUAGCCGGCCUGAGAGGGUGUACGGCCACAUUGGGACUGAGAUACGGCCCAGACUCCUACGGGAGGCAGCAGUGGGGAAUAUUGCACAAUGGGCGCAAGCCUGAUGCAGCGACGCCGCGUGGGGGAUGAAGGCCUUCGGGUUGUAAACUCCUUUCGCCGGGGACGAAGCUUUGUUGUGACGGUACCUAGAUAAGAAGCACCGGCUAACUACGUG